rnacentral:rRNA from 1 species
CUACGGAGGAUGCAAGCGUUAUCCGGAUUUAUUGGGUUUAAAGGGUGCGUAGGCUGUUCGGAAAGUCAGGGGUGAAAGCCCGGCGCUUAACGCCGGAACUGCCUUUGAUACUUCCGAGCUGGAAUACGGAUGCCGUGGGAGGAAUGAGUAGUGUAGCGGUGAAAUGCAUAGAUAUUACUCAGAACACCGAUUGCGAAGGCAUCUCACGAAUCCGUCAUUGACGCUGAGGCACGAAAGCGUGGGGAUCAAACAGGAUUAGAUACCCUGGUAGUCCACGCAGUAAACGAUGAUGACUAACCGUCGGCGAUACACAGUCGGUGGCCAAGCGAAAGCGAUAAGUCAUCCACCUGGGGAGUACGUUCGCAAGAAUGAAACUCAAAUGAAUUGGCGGGG